rnacentral:misc_RNA from 1 species
GUAGGUGAACCUGCGGAAGGAUCAUUAAAGAGUUUAGAGACUUCGGUCUACUACUCCACCCUUUGUUUACAUACCAUUGUUGCUUUGGCAGGCCCGUCGAAAGGCAACCGGCUCCGGCUGGUCAGCGCCUGCCAGAGGACCCAAAACUCAUGUUUAUAUUAUUGUCUGAGUACUAUAUAAUAGUUAAAACUUUCAACAACGGAUCUCUUGGUUCUGGCAUCGAUGAAGAACGCAGCAUCUGACUGACUGG